rnacentral:rRNA from 1 species
CGAAUGCUGACAUAAGUAACGAUAAAGCGGGUGAAAAGCCCGCUCGCCGGAAGACCAAGGGUUCCUGUCCAACGUUAAUCGGGGCAGGGUGAGUCGACCCCUAAGGCGAGGCCGAAAGGCGUAGUCGAUGGGAAACAGGUUAAUAUUCCUGUACUUGGUGUUACUGCGAAGGGGGGACGGAGAAGGCUAUGUUGGCCGGGCGACGGUUGUCCCGGUUUAAGCGUGUAGGCUGGUUUUCCAGGCAAAUCCGGAAAAUCAAGGCUGAGGCGUGAUGACGAGGCACUACGGUGCUGAAGCAACAAAUGCCCUGCUUCCAGGAAAAGCCUCUAAGCAUCAGGUAACAUCAAAUCGUACCCCAAACCGACACAGGUGGUCAGGUAGAGAAUACCAAGGCGCUUGAGAGAACUCGGGUGAAGGAACUAGGCAAAAUGGUGCCGUAACUUCGGGAGAAGGCACGCUGAUAUGUAGGUGAAGUCCCUCGCGGAUGGAGCUGAAAUCAGUCGAAGAUACCAGCUGGCUGCAACUGUUUAUUAAAAACACAGCACUGUGCAAACACGAAAGUGGACGUAUACGGUGUGACGCCUGCCCGGUGCCGGAAGGUUAAUUGAUGGGGUCAGCGCAAGCGAAGCUCUUGAUCGAAGCCCCGGUAAACGGCGGCCGUAACUAUAACGGUCCUAAGGUAGCGAAAUUCCUUGUCGGGUAAGUUCCGACCUGCACGAAUGGCGUAAUGAUGGCCAGGCUGUCUCCACCCGAGACUCAGUGAAAUUGAACUCGCUGUGAAGAUGCAGUGUACCCGCGGCAAGACGGAAAGACCCCGUGAACCUUUACUAUAGCUUGACACUGAACAUUGAGCCUUGAUGUGUAGGAUAGGUGGGAGGCUUAGAAGUGUGGACGCCAGUCUGCAUGGAGCCGACCUUGAAAUACCACCCUUUAAUGUUUGAUGUUCUAACGUUGACCCGUAAUCCGGGUUGCGGACAGUGUCUGGUGGGUAGUUUGACUGGGGCGGUCUCCUCCUAAAGAGUAACGGAGGAGCACGAAGGUUGGCUAAUCCUGGUCGGACAUCAGGAGGUUAGUGCAAUGGCAUAAGCCAGCUUGACUGCGAGCGUGACGGCGCGAGCAGGUGCGAAAGCAGGUCAUAGUGAUCCGGUGGUUCUGAAUGGAAGGGCCAUCGCUCAACGGAUAAAAGGUACUCCGGGGAUAACAGGCUGAUACCGCCCAAGAGUUCAUAUCGACGGCGGUGUUUGGCACCUCGAUGUCGGCUCAUCACAUCCUGGGGCUGAAGUAGGUCCCAAGGGUAUGGCUGUUCGCCAUUUAAAGUGGUACGCGAGCUGGGUUUAGAACGUCGUGAGACAGUUCGGUCCCUAUCUGCCGUGGGCGCUGGAGAACUGAGGGGGGCUGCUCCUAGUACGAGAGGACCGGAGUGGACGCAUCACUGGUGUUCGGGUUGUCAUGCCAAUGGCACUGCCCGGUAGCUAAAUGCGGAAGAGAUAA